CACGUAGGGGGCGAGCGUUGUUCGGAAUCAUUGGGCGUAAAGGGUGCGCAGGCGGCCGACCGAGUCUGGUGUGAAAUACCCCGGCCCAACCGGGGGGGCGCGCUGGAAACUGGUCGGCUGGAGUGCAGGAGGGGGAGUCGGAAUUCCAGGUGUAGGGGUGAAAUCUGUAGAUAUCUGGAAGAACACCGGUGGCGAAGGCGGACUCCUGGCCAUGCACUGACGCUGAGGCACGAAGGCGUGGGGAGCAAACAGGUUUAGAUACCCUGGUAGUCCACGCAGUAAACGAUGCACACUAGGUGGUGGGCGGUAGCGCUCAGUACCGUAGCGAACGCGUUAAGUGUGCCGCCUGGGGAGUAUGCUCGCAAGGGUGAA
rnacentral:rRNA from 1 species